rnacentral:tRNA from 1 species
GUUGCGAUAGCUCAGUUGGUGGAGCGUCUGCCCGGUGUGAAGGGAGCCGCCGGUUCGAUUCCGGCUAGCGAUG